AGAGUUUGAUCCUGGCUCAGAUUGAACGCUGGCGGAAUGCUUUACACAUGCAAGUCGAACGAUGAACCCUAGCUUGCUAGGGGGAUUAGUGGCGAACGGGUGAGUAAUAUAUCGGAACGUGCCUUGUAAUGGGGGAUAACUAGUCGAAAGAUUAGCUAAUACCGCAUACGCCCUGAGGGGGAAAGUAGGGGAUCUUCGGACCUUACGUUAUAAGAGCGGCCGAUAUCUGAUUAGCUAGUUGGUGGGGUAAUGGCCUACCAAGGCAUCGAUCAGUAGCUGGUCUGAGAGGACGACCAGCCACACUGGAACUGAGACACGGUCCAGACUCCUACGGGAGGCAGCAGUGGGGAAUUUUGGACAAUGGGCGAAAGCCUGAUCCAGCCAUUCCGCGUGAGUGAAGAAGGCCUUCGGGUUGUAAAGCUCUUUCGCAAGGGAAGAAAACUUACACAAUAACACUGUGUGAGGAUGACGGUACCUUGAUAAGAAGCACCGGCUAACUACGUGCCAGCAGCCGCGGUAAUACGUAGGGUGCGAGCGUUAAUCGGAAUUACUGGGCGUAAAGCGUGCGCAAGCGGUUUGGCAAGUCAGAUGUGAAAUCCCCGAGCUCAACUUGGGAACUGCGUUUGAAACUGCCAGACUAGAAUAUGUCAGAGGGGGGGUAGAAUUCCACGUGUAGCAGUGAAAUGCGUAGAGAUGUGGAGGAAUACCAAUGGGCGAAGGCAGCCCCCUGGGAUAAUAUUGACGCUCAUGCACGAAAGCGUGGGGAGCAAACAGGAUUAGAUACCCUGGUAGUCCACGCCCUAAACGAUGUCUACUAGGUGGUUGGUGGAGUAAAAUCCAUGAGUAACGCAGCUACGCGUGGAAGUAGACCGCCUGGGGAGUACGGUCGCAAGAUUAAAACUCAAUGGAAUUGACGG
rnacentral:rRNA from 1 species